CAACUGGGCUGAGGGAUCCUCCUCCUGGCAUCCCUGUCUCUCAGAAGCAAGCUGAGGCAGGGCUGCAUUUGCAGAGUCGUUGAAUCUGCCAGUGGAAGAACUGAGAGUGAAUGCCACUAUGUUUCUGCUGCUCAGUCUGCUUCUGUUUGCUGGACAUGAUGGCUUAACGUUGAGCUUGGAGGGUUUCUGCGAGCCUUAAAGAGCUGUUUCAAUGAAACAAAAAUAACUCUCCAUAAACAAACAGUUUACUGACCAAGCUUGCCAAGGCUGCAUCUCCCCAAACCUCAGGGGAAGAAUUGGCUGUAUUGAAUCAACUGCACUGAAAAAGGUCCCUCUCUUCAUGCCUUCAACACCUCCAAAUCUUUCAGGGCCUGCUGGGGCUGCCCACAGACUGACAGCAUCUCUGCAACUAAAAUAA